ensembl:lncRNA CYP2T1P cytochrome P450 family 2 subfamily T member 1, pseudogene
GGGGCGGCGCUAAAGCGUAAGGUUAGAAUGGAGGUUCAUCCUGCAGCCAACAGGAGAAAAGAGCCUAAGAGUCAAAGCCCGAGAGCCAGCCUAGGUCAGGGAUGGAGCCCAGCAAAGGCGGGGCCAAUGUGUGGAUAGGGCACUUGGAGGUCUGGUAAAGAAGCAAAGGGAACGAAGCCGGCCGCAGGAGUCGGAGGCCCCUAAAGGGAUGUAGCCAGUGACCCGGCGCUUCCUGGAUAGGGCGUGGCCGGCUCCCCGGCCCGCCUCCUUUCCCGUCCCCACCACAGGAAUCUUGUUUUCUAACCGGCCGUGCUGGUGGACACUGCGCAAUUUUGCACUUGGAGCGCUUAAGAAGUUCGGGUUGGGUACGCGGACCGUCGAGGCGCGCGUCCUGGAGGAGGCGGCUUGUCUGCUAGACGAAUUUCAAGCCACCAUUGCUUCGGCCUGGCCGGGAGAGCGGAAGGGCCUGGUGUGGGAGAGUCCCUUGCACUGCCAAGACGGGGCCACUGGAAGGAGCCCCGUUUGACCCCGUGCGGCUACUGGAUAAUGCUGUAUCCAAUGUUAUCUGUUCUUGUCUUCGGGAACCGCUAUCGCUAUGGGGACCCGGAGUUCCUGAGGCUCCUGAACCUCUUCAGUGACAACUUCUGCAUCAUUAGUUCCAGAUGGGGCGAGGUGAGAGGGCCGGCCACAAUCUUUCCUUGGUGCGUCCAGCCUUAUGCCAAAUCCCGAGUACACAGACCUACCUACAAUGGAUCAUUAGAAUGGGACAGAUUCCUGGAAGAGUUCUAGAACAUCCAGUAUCAAAGUCCUAGUCCAAUCUCCCUGUAGGGAAACUAAGGCCUAGUGGCCUUGUGCAGGGCCCAUGUUGAGACAGACCCUGUCUCUCCAGAUGUACAUUUGCCUGUCCCUCAUGGACUGGCUCCCGGGCCCGCACCACCGAAUCUUCCGAAACUUUUCGGAGCUGCGGGUCAUCUCUGAGCAAAUUCAACGACACUGGCAGAUGCGGCAGCCAGCGGAGCCCCGCGAUUUCAUUGAUUGCUUGACCAGAUGGGUAAGGCAUGGGUCCCAGCUCUCUAAACUCUAUCCAUGCCGCCCACCAACAGGUGCCUGGCACGCGGCAGCACAUCUCCUCUGCCCACAGUAACAGCAGGACCCGGAGAGCCAUUUCCAGGAGUAGACGUCGGUAAUGACGACGCAUUUUUUUUUUGGCGUCACCGAAACCACGAGCACCACCCUGUGCUAUGGGCUCCUCAUUCUGCUUAAGUACCUAGAGGUGGCAGGUGUGCAACCCGGAGAGACCCAGAAUGGGAGGCUGCAGUCUGGGGAUGGCUGGAGGGUCCUGGAAGUGCGCAGCUCACAGCCUCCCCCGGCCUGAGCCAAGGUGCAGGAGCUGGACCCUGUGGUAGGGUGGAGGCCCGCCCCAAGCCUGGACUAUCGCGUGUGCCUGCCCUACGCCAACGCAGUGCUGCUCGAGAUCCAGUGCUUCAUCAGCGUGGUGCCCCUGGGGCUGCCGCGCACCCUCACCCUCGACACCCACCUGCACAGCCACUGUCUGCCCAAAGGUACCCACUGAGUCUGGGGAUCCCGUGCGGGACCCGGGUGCAUGAGAUCAGCCAGAAUCAGCAGGUGUGCGCUGUGCAGACCAAAACACAAUCAGUUACCCCUGGAGCAGGAAGGCAGCUCUGCCUUCCCUUAGGCUUUUUGUUGUUGUUGUUUGAGACGGAGUCUGGCUCUGUCAUUCAGGCUAGAAUGCAGUGGCAUGAUCUUGGCUCACUGCAACCUCCACUUCCUGGGUUCAAGCGAUUGUCCUGCCUCAGCCUCCUGAGUACCUGGUAUUACAGGCACCCACCACCACGCCUGGCUAAUUUUUGUAUUUUUAGUAGAGACAGGUUUCGCCAUGUUGGCCAGGCUGGUCUCGAACUUCUGACCUCAAGUGAUCUGUCCUCAGCCUCCCAGAGUGCUGGGAUUACAGGCGUGAGCUACUUGCCCGGCCUAUUCCCUUGGGCUUUUAAAAAGCGUCUUGGAUGGAGGUGGUGCAGGUGCUCACCAAGCCCGCAGGUAACCCAAGUUGCAUGUAUCCCCAGGGCACUUUUGUGAUUCCCCUGCUUGUGACUGCACACCGGGACCCCACUCAAUUCAAAGACCCAGACUGCUUCAACCCUACCAACUUCCUGGACAAGGGCAAGUUCCAGGGCAAUGAUGCUUUCAUGCCCUUUGCCUCAGGUGCAGGCAGAGGAGGAAGGGGACCAGCCUGGACUGGCUCUGGGGUACCUGGUGCUCACUGUGCACCUGUGUACCCGGCAAAGCAGAUGUGCCUGGGCACAGGCCUGGCCCACUCGGGUAUCUUCCUAUUCCUUACGGCCACCUUACAGAGGUUCUGCCUGCUCCCUGUGGUACGCCCUGGCACCAUCAACCUCACCUGCAGUGCACUGGCCUGGGCAGUGUCCCCCCAGACUUCCAGCUCCAGCCAGUGGCCUGCUGAGGUCAGGCUCCACUAUGGUGGGCUCACUGGCCCUCAAACCUCCAUACCCUCCU